rnacentral:rRNA from 2 species
ACGGGAGGCAGCAGUGAGGAAUAUUGGUCAAUGGGCGAGAGCCUGAACCAGCCAAGUAGCGUGCAGGAUGACGGCCCUAUGGGUUGUAAACUGCUUUUUCAGGGGAAUAUAGUCACCCACGCGUGGGUGUUGGCAUGUACCCUGCGAAUAAGCAUCGGCUAAUUCCGUGCCAGCAGCCGCGGUAAUACGGAAGAUGCGAGCGUUAUCCGGAUUUAUUGGGUUUAAAGGGAGCGUAGGCGGGCUGUUAAGUCAGCGGUCAAAUGUCAUGGCCCAACCUUGGCAUGCCGUUGAAACUGGCGGCCUUGAAUGUGCGCAAGGAAGGUGGAAUUCGUCGUGUAGCGGUGAAAUGCUUAGAUAUGACGAAGAACCCCGAUUGCGAAGGCAGCCUUCUGGAGCAUGAUUGACGCUGAGGCUCGAAAGUGCGGGUAUCGAACAGGAUUAGAUACCCUGGUA